rnacentral:rRNA from 1 species
CCUACGGGAGGCUGCAGUCGAGGAUCUUCGGCAAUGAGCGAAAGCUUGACCGAGCGACGCCGCGUGCGGGAUGAAGGCCUUCGGGUUGUAAACCGCUUUCGGAGGGGAGGAAAUCUAGGGGGGAUCACCCCUUUAGUUGACCUAUCCUAGGAAGAAGGACGGGCUAAGUUCGUGCCAGCAGCCGCGGUAAUACGAACCGUCCAAACGUUAUUCGGAAUCACUGGGCUUAAAGGGUGCGUAGGCGGCCCGGUAAGUUGGGUGUGAAAUCCCUCGGCUCAACCGAGGAAUUGCGCCCAAAACUGUCGGGCUUGAGGAAGAUAGAGGUGAGUGGAACUUAGGGUGGAGCGGUGAAAUGCGUUGAUAUCCUAAGGAACACCGGUGGCGAAAGCGACUCACUGGGUCUUUUCUGACGCUGAGGCACGAAAGCUAGGGUAGCGAAGAGGAUUAGAUACCCCUGUAGUC